AAUAGAUACCCCGGUAGUCCACGCCGUAAACGAUGAGUGCUAAGUGUUGGAGGGUUUCCGCCUUUCAGUGCUGCAGCUAACGCAUUAAGCACUCCGCCUGGGGAGUACGGUCGCAAGACUGAAACUCAAAGGAAUUGACGGGGGCCCGCACAAGCGGUGGAGCAUGUGGUUUAAUUCGAAGCAACGCGAAGAACCUUACCAGGUCUUGACAUCUCCUGACCGCCCUGGAGACAGGGUCUUCCCUUCGGGGACAGGAUGACAGGUGGUGCAUGGUUGUCGUCAGCUCGUGUCGUGAGAUGUUGGGUUAAGUCCCGCAACGAGCGCAACCCUUGGUUCUAGUUGCCAGCAUUCAGUUGGGCACUCUAGAGCGACUGCCGGCGACAAGUCGGAGGAAGGUGGGGAUGACGUCAAAUCAUCAUGCCCCUUAUGACCUGGGCUACACACGUGCUACAAUGGAUGGUACAAAGGGCAGCGAAGCGGCGACGCAUAAGCGAAUCCCAGAAAACCAUUCUCAGUUCGGAUUGCG
rnacentral:rRNA from 1 species